rnacentral:lncRNA from 1 species
AAAACUUUAUAUGUAAUGAAAAAAUAGAUACAUACACCUCAAUAUUGAAAAAUAAGUACUAUUAUUUUUAACUACUGUUCUUUUAGAUUCAGUUUUUAAGUGAUACAGAGAUAAUGCAAAUAUUUGAUUUAGAUAACAGCUGAUUCAAAGUCAUCUUAGCCUGGCACAGUGGUGCACGAUUAUGAUCUGAGGCAGGAGGAUUAUAGGUUUGAAGCCAGCCUCAGCAACUUACAGUUAGGCUGUAAGCAACCUAGUAAGACCCUGUCUCAAAAUUAAAAAUAAAAAGGAUUGGGGAUGUGGCUCAGUGAGUUAAGCAUUCUUGGAUUCAAUCCCUAGUACCAAAAACAAAAAACAAAACAAAACAAAACAAAAACCAACAGUCAUCUUGUAUAUCCACUAAGAAAGACAGAGGAAUAACAUGAAGGAAGUAGUAAAGGCCUCCCAUUACAUGGACAUGAUUACAUCUCAGGCAGCUCUUGCAGAAGCUGGGAACUUGGAAAAGCAGCUCCCCAUAAGUGAGCGAUAGGACUCUUGGUACUGCUGCCAACUUACCCUUGAAGAAAAACAGGGAAAAGCAUUUUUCAAAUUAAUCAGAUUUCAGAGGUUUUAGGCAAGGAUUUAAAUAAGACCACAAAGGGCUUUAAGCUCAUAACUACUUGACCAAACCAUUUCUUUCGCAGCCUCCUCCAGAACCACCUUGAUUAUGAUCUCUCUAUCCUCUCAACAUCCUUCCAAAAUGUUAUCAUCACCACCACUCUUCAGCUAAAAUGUCUAAGAUGUCAACAGAUCAUCCCUUUUGUUCAGAAUGAACAUUCAAUUCUCUUUAUUCAACAAACCCUCAAUAUGCCAGAACCUGUGGAGAAUCUGGGAAUUGACAGAAAAAUAAUAUACCCUUCCCUGGCCUUCAGGAGUUCACCUCUUGGGAUGGCAGAAACAAACAUAACUGGCUGGGUCAUGUGACACUUUGUUUCUUCAAAGAUAUCUUCACAGCCUCCCAUAACACAAUGUAGCUGCUAAAGCCAGAGGGGGCUGAAACAGGAACAGUUGAAAGAGAUCCUCUUCUGUUUCUCUUAUGCAUGCUGGAAUGAGUGGCCCUGUAUGUGUCCUGGGCGUGUGAUGAAGGUAGGGUCUCCAACAAAAAUCUGUGUUCUUGCUACUAGUAUCAACCCCAGUGCAGGUUUCAGAGGUGCUUCAGUAUAAGAAGGAAGACAAUACCCCAUCCCAGUGCUAUCAAUCAAGAAUUACUUUGCAAUAUGUAAAUCAAUGGAUGUGUAACUGAUGUGAUUCUGCAAUCUGUAUAUGGGGUAAAAAUGGGAGCUCAUAACCCACUUGAAUCAAAUUGUGAAAUAUGAUAUAUCAAGAACUAUGUAAUGUUUUGAACAGCCAACAAUAAAAAAUUAAAAAAAAA